rnacentral:rRNA from 1 species
GACGAACGCUGGCGGCGUGCUUAACACAUGCAAGUCGUACGGUAAGGCCCUUUCGGGGGUACACGAGUGGCGAACGGGUGAGUAACACGUGAGUAACCUGCCCACAACUUUGGGAUAACGCUAGGAAACUGGUGCUAAUACUGGAGAUGUGCUCCUGCUGCAUGGUGGGGGUUGGAAAGCUCCGGCGGUUGUGGAUGGACUCGCGGCCUAUCAGCUUGUUGGUGGGGUAGUGGCCUACCAAGGCGGCGACGGGUAGCCGGCCUGAGAGGGUGACCGGCCACAUUGGGACUGAGAUACGGCCCAGACUCCUACGGGAGGCAGCAGUGGGGAAUAUUGCACAAUGGGCGCAAGCCUGAUGCAGCAACGCCGCGGGCGGGAUGACGGCCUUCGGGUUGUAAACCGCUUUCAGCAGGGACGAAGCUUUUUGUGACGGUACCUGCAGAAGAAGCACCGGCUAACUACGUG